rnacentral:rRNA from 1 species
CCUACGGGCGGCAGCAGUGGGGAAUAUUGGACAAUGGGGGGAACCCUGAUCCAGCCAUGCCGCGUGUGUGAAGAAGGCCCUCGGGUUGUAAAGCACUUUCAGUGAGGAAGAACGCCUGGUGGUUAAUACCCAUCAGGAAAGACAUCACUCACAGAAGAAGCACCGGCUAACUCCGUGCCAGCAGCCGCGGUAAUACGGAGGGUGCGAGCGUUAAUCGGAAUUACUGGGCGUAAAGCGCGCGUAGGUGGCUUGAUAAGCCGGUUGUGAAAGCCCCGGGCUCAACCUGGGAACGGCAUCCGGAACUGUCAAGCUAGAGUGCAGGAGAGGAAGGUAGAAUUCCCGGUGUAGCGGUGAAAUGCGUAGAGAUCGGGAGGAAUACCAGUGGCGAAGGCGGCCUUCUGGACUGACACUGACACUGAGGUGCGAAAGCGUGGGUAGCCAACAGGAUUAGAUACCCUUGUAGUC